AUACGGAGGAUGCAAGCGUUAUCCGGAUUUAUUGGGUUUAAAGGGUGCGUAGGCGGUUUGCUAAGCGGGAGGUGAAAUGCCGGCGCUCAACGUCGGAAGUGCCUCCCGAACUGGUGGACUUGAAUGACUCUGCCGUGGGAGGAAUGUGUAGUGUAGCGGUGAAAUGCUUAGAGAUUACACAGAACACCGAUUGCGAAGGCAUCUCACGAAGGGUUGAUUGACGCUGAGGCACGAAAGCGUGGGGAUCAAACAGGAUUAGAUACCCUGGUAGUCCACGCAGUAAACGAUGAUUACUGGCUGUUUGCGAUACAAUGUAAGCGGCUGAGCGAAAGCGUUAAGUAAUCCACCUGGGGAGUACGUUCGCAAGAAUGAAACUCAAAGGAAUUGACGGGG
rnacentral:rRNA from 1 species